GAGUUUCAUUCUUCCUCAGCGUCCUUCUCGACCUUAGGCGUUCUUUGAGUCGUCUCCAUCUCUGCAUCUCUGCAUCCUUCAGACUAGCAUAGGUUAGUUCCAGAACUCUCUUUUUUUCGUGGCUCUGUUUCUAAGCUGUGCCGAUCUUCUUUCAUUGCAGAUAUGGAUGCGGACGCAGCUUGGAUGUUAGCCAAGAGUCUCAAGACCCACAAGAGGAAAGGUGUUGCAACUUCUAGAUCGGCGAAGAAAGCGAAGGUAGA
rnacentral:lncRNA from 1 species